UACAGAGGUCCCCAAGCGUUGUUCGGAUUCACUGGGCGUAAAGGGUGCGUAGGCGGUCGGGUAAGUCUGAUGUGAAAUCUCACAGCUUAACUGUGAAACUGCAUUGGAUACUAUCCGGCUCGAGGAAUGGAGGGGAGACUGGAAUACUUGGUGUAGCAGUGAAAUGCGUAGAUAUCAAGUGGAACACCAGUGGCGAAGGCGAGUCUCUGGCAUUUCCUGACGCUGAGGCACGAAAGCCAGGGGAGCAAACGGG
rnacentral:rRNA from 1 species